UGGGGAAUAUUGCACAAUGGGCGCAAGCCUGAUGCAGCCAUGCCGCGUGUAUGAAGAAGGCCUUCGGGUUGUAAAGUACUUUCAGCGAGGAGGAAGGCGUUGUGGUUAAUAACCGCAACGAUUGACGUUACUCGCAGAAGAAGCACCGGCUAACUCCGUGCCAGCAGCCGCGGUAAUACGGAGGGUGCAAGCGUUAAUCGGAAUUACUGGGCGUAAAGCGCACGCAGGCGGUCUGUCAAGUCGGAUGUGAAAUCCCCGGGCUCAACCUGGGAACUGCAUGCGAAACUGGCAGGCUAGAGUCUUGUAGAGGGGGGUAGAAUUCCAGGUGUAGCGGUGAAAUGCGUAGAGAUCUGGAGGAAUACCGGUGGCGAAGGCGGCCCCCUGGACAAAGACUGACGCUCAGGUGCGAAAGCGUGGGGAGCAAACA
rnacentral:rRNA from 1 species